rnacentral:rRNA from 1 species
CAAAAACAUCGCCUCUUGCAUAAAAAUAAGAGGUCCAGCCUGCCCAGUGACAUGUUCAACGGCCGCGGUAUCCUAACCGUGCGAAGGUAGCGUAAUCACUUGUUCUUUAAAUGGGGACUAGUAUGAAUGGCAUCACGAGGGUUAUACUGUCUCCUUUUUCUAAUCAGUGAAACUAAUCUCCCCGUGAAGAGGCGGGGAUAAUACUAUAAGACGAGAAGACCCUAUGGAGCUUUAAACUCACCUUCAAGUGCUGGCUCCUUUCUACCCAUUUACAAUUACCCAAUCACCAUGAAGACAAGUUUUAGGUUGGGGUGACCGCGGAGCACAAAAAAACCUCCGCAUUGAACUAGGCCUCAAAACCUUGAACAAAGGGCCACGACCCUAUGUACCAAAAAAUUUUCAUCCAUUGACCCAUUUUUAUGACCAACGAACCAAGUUACCCUAGGGAUAACAGCGCAAUCUGCUCCAAGAGUCCAUAUCGACGAGCGGGUUUACGACCUCGAUGUUGGAUCAGGGUGUCCCAGUGGUGCAGCCGCUACUAAUGGUUCGUUUGUUCAACGAUUAAAACCCU